rnacentral:rRNA from 1 species
CCUACGGGUGGCUGCAGUGGGGAAUAUUGGACAAUGGGCGAAAGCCUGAUCCAGCCAUGCCGCGUGUGUGAAGAAGGCCUUCGGGUUGUAAAGCACUUUCAGUGGGGAAGAAAGCCUUGGGGCUAAUACCCUCGAGGAAGGACAUCACCCACAGAAGAAGCACCGGCUAACUCCGUGCCAGCAGCCGCGGUAAUACGGAGGGUGCGAGCGUUAAUCGGAAUUACUGGGCGUAAAGCGCGCGUAGGCGGUCUGAUAAGCCGGUUGUGAAAGCCCCGGGCUCAACCCGGGAACGGCAUCCGGAACUGUCAGGCUAGAGUGCAGGAGAGGAAGGUAGAAUUCCCGGUGUAGCGGUGAAAUGCGUAGAGAUCGGGAGGAAUACCAGUGGCGAAGGCGGCCUUCUGGACUGACACUGACGCUGAGGUGCGAAAGCGUGGGUAGCAAACAGGACUAGAUACCCUUGUAGUC